AUUGAACGCUGGCGGCAGGCCUAACACAUGAAAGUCGAGAGGAGCGGCGGACGGGUAGGUAAUGCAUAGGAAUAUGCAUGGUAGUGGGGGAUAAAGUCCGGAAACGGACGCUAAUACCGCAUACUAUCAGAUGAGCCUAGGUCGGAGUAGCUAGUUGGUGGGGUAAAGGCAUACCAAGGCGACGAUCACUACCUGGUCUGAGAGGAUGAUCAGUCACACUGGGACUGAGACACGGUCCAGACUCCUACGUGAGGCAGCAGUGGGGAAUAUUGGACAAUGGGCGAAAGUCUGAUCCAGCAAUGCCGCGUGUGUGAAGAAGGUCUUCGGAUUGUAAAGCACUGUAAGUUGGGAGGCGUUACCAACAGAAGAAGCACCGGCUAACUACGUGCCAGCCGCCGCGGUAAUAC
rnacentral:rRNA from 1 species